rnacentral:lncRNA from 1 species
AAACUUCAACGGUUGACCUUGACAAACUCAAUGGUAAAAGAUGUAUCAAGCAAUAUUUCAAAGUUGAAAUCCCUUUCUUCUCUACAUCUUAGUGGUUGUGUAAUCGUUAAAUUUCCAAUUGUUGAUGUGCGCUCACCAAGCUUAAGGUUCAAAAGCCUUAUGUGUAAGCAUAUGGAUCGUUGCAAGAGCCUCAAAUUACUCUCAGAGCUUCCACCAUAUCUGCUCGACUUGAAUGUACAUGACUGCACGUCAUUAGAAAAAGUUCCCUUUGCAGAUCAAAAUUUAUAUCAGUUUGGUUCGUUAGGUGAUGAAGGUGAUGGUGUGUUUUGCAUGUUAUUCUGUAAUUGCUUCAACUUGAAUCAAGAAUCAACUAAUAACAUUGAGGCAAAUGCCAUGCUCAAAAUUGGAUCCCUAGCUAAGGAACGGGCAGCGACAUAUGGUAGGAAAUACCUGGGUGAUAUCCUUCCAAGUUUGAUUUGUUGUUUCCCAAGAAACAAAAUUUCAACAAAUAAGUUCAAGUAUCAGAGUAUGAAUUCUUCCUUAAGUUUGAAGAUAGCCCCAAAUGGGGGUGGUGGGAGCAGAUUUUUGGUUUUUGUUAUCUGCCUUGUGGCUGAUCUCGCUCACUGCCCUCGCUUGAGAAGUCUUAAAUGUAUUUGUGGCUACUAACUUACAGCCGCUGAUGGUGGUUAUGAAAAGUUCAAAAGUACCAUAUCUUUCUUGGAUGCUUCUGAGUCAGAGAAAUGCAUGGGUGAUCACGUGUUUAUUCUAUCUAGCAUCAAAAUGGUUAAAAGAGACGAGAAUUAUGAGGAGGCAUCAUUUGAUUUCUACAUCAAAAAUUUCCAUCAUUAUGAAGAAGCAGCAGAAAAAUUAUCAAGGUGGAGAGAUGUGGUGUUCUUGUAUUUUACGUAGAUGCAGAGAGUGAUGCUGAUGCUACAGAAAUGAGACCUGCCGAGACCAAAAGAAGCUUUAGCCAUGAUGGUGAAGAAGGGGAUGGAGGCCAUAAACGAUUUCAAUAGUUUUUAUUUCCUUUCAUUUUUGGCUCUGGUUUUCAGAAGUUACAACUUCUCAAUCAUGUCAUCCAAAUACAUAAAGGGGUUUUCAUCUCAUUCUUUCAUAUUACUCGAUUUUUUAUUUCAUUUUUCAUAUUGCCAUAUUUUUGUUUUUCAUAGGUGUUAAAACUAAAUUUUCAACUUUUAAAUUAAUUGCCUAUGAUAGAAAAUGAAGUGCUUUACUUAAUUAAAACCAACCAGGAUGAAUCUAACUUGCUCUGUUUAAAGUGUUAAGAGUAUAGAUAAAGACUCUAUUAGUCUAUUAGUUGUUAGUUUGUUAUACAAGCAGUUAUGCUGUUAAGUGAGAUUGUUAGCAGCAGUUACUCAUACACAUUUUAUAAAUACUAUAGUUGUACUGGUUAAAUUCAAGAUAAUAAUACAAAAAUCAUUCUCUGCAUAUUCUAUUUUUCUUUCAAGUUUUUGUAGAUAUUAACAUGGUAAACGUCGGACAACAAUGAUUGACAGAGGCAGCAACAUAUUCACUUGAUUAUUGAAGGUUAUGAAUUGACUGGUUUUUUUUGGAGGGAACGUUACCUGGUCUGCCGCAUUUUGUGCUGUCUUUGGAGGGAUCUCUAGUUCCAAAUCCGGAUGCCUCAGCAUUCUUUCAGCAGGAUAGGUUACUUGCCUCUUUCUGGUUAUUUUCUACUAUUAGUCCUUCACUGUUGUCUUCUUUUACAUAUGCUAGGAUGGCGUGCGAUGUUUGGAACACUGCCACUUGCCUCUUCACUACCGUCACAGGUGUCAAGUUAUCUUGCAUUCGCCAUGAUUUACACUCGCUUAAGAAAGGUAAUCUGUCGAUAAUGGAGUAGGUAGUAAAGAUUCAGAAUACCUGUGCUUUAAUCGAGGCUUGUCGAUCUUGGAUCUCGGAGGCAGAGAAAGUGGAUAUCGUACUUGUGGGCCUACCACCGGAGUUCAACGCCAUGCUCACCUUAGCGUCAUUCUUGUCGGAAGCCUUACCGUUACAACACCGCAUGGAUGAGAUGUUGGAGUAUGGAAGUCGCUAAAUUCGCGUGGUUCAGGAGGUGCCGUUUCAUGCUAACCUUUUGGAGACUAUUCCGUCACCGCCGGUGGUGGACUCUGUGCGUGUUGGCCGUCCCCUACUGGUGGUUGUGGGAAGAGGUUUCGAUCCAAACUCCAAUGUUAGAUCUGUGGUCAGUUUGGGCAUUAGCUCAACGUUUUUAAUAUUGUCAUAAUCGCGACUACAGUGGUCUGACAUUAGCGGCCUGGGCUUCAAAUUCGGCCGAUCGUACUAGGCAGGGUUCGGAUGUUGGUUUCUCAUUUCUAUCGCCCGCCUCUAGUCAGUUUGGUGGCCUUUCGUAGACGGCGCCAUCACGAUUUCUUUCUGGUAAAUGGUAGGGUGGUCACUUGUCUACUGCGCCUCCCCUGUAUAUGUCAUACACUAGGGUUUUUAACCCCUUUUUUUUUGCGUUUGAUGAUGGAGCAGGCCUACCGCUUGGGCAUUAUGCUGGGUUAAGCCAACCAUUUGGGCUUGGUCAUGAGUAGCGGUUUGAGCCUGGUCAUGAGGCAGUUCACUGGGUUAGGUCCGUAUUUUGGGCUUGUAACUGGGUUCACUCGGCCAUUGGCCAAAAUCUUGGGCCGUCUGUGCGUGGUAGGCCAUCUGGCCCAUGCUAGGACUUUAGGGGUGAUUUUUCUCCAGUUGGGUCCACUGCUAAUGUUUCUCCAAAUGGGCCAACAUUUAAUUGUGUGGAGUUUACAAGCCCUCGUGGUCGUGUACGAGGGCUUGAGCCUUCAGAUGGUGGUGUUUGUACUACGUUUGGGUCAUAUAAUGGGUUGUGUAUUCCCUGGCAGACAAAAAUAAGAGCUCGUGUUUAUAUUGGGUCAGAUCCAUGCAUUGGAUUGCCUCGAAUUCCUGAUUUACAUACGUCUAAUGUCUCUAACUCUACUGGGUCUAAUAUUAAUGCCACUCAUUUUGGGUCCAAUUUUGAUAAUGAUGAUUCGUAUAUUCCUAUACCUAUAGGAACUUCGUCUUGGUAUCUGGAUUCAGGGGCAAUGCCUCUGCUUUGAAUGAGUCUACACCAUACUCAAGUACAUUCCCUCUCUUAAUAGGUGAUGGGACUCCUAUGCUUGUAGGAACUUCACUUAUUUUUUAUGUAAAUUUUUAUAAAUAUAUUUGUUACGUAACUAUGUUAUUUGAAUGUGCUAGUGUCACGGGCCAAAGUCUAAAGCCCGUGACCAUGACACAAGAUGUGCCCCAUGGAGUUCAUCAAUUAAAUAGGGAACAUUUAGCCCACGAGAACUGGCUCGAUUCAAAGAAUUGUUGGAGAAGCCUGUCAGAUUGAAGCCUGGUUGGCCCGAUAAUGAAGACAUGGCAACUUAGGCUAAUUUUGGUAACUAAUCUUAGAAGAUAGAGAGAAUCAUAUCUUGCAAAGAUUAGAUUAGAUUUGAUAUGACAAAUAUUGUAAAUCCCUAAAAUUAAGGGAUAUGGUUAAUCUCGUCCGUUGAUGUAAAUGUAUCUUGAUCGUCGAUUUUAGGGGAGCUCAACUAUAAAUAGAGAGCCUCCCCUCAUUUGUACUCAUCCAUUGUAAGAUUGAAUUCUUAAAAGUAAUAGAAUUCAGAGAGCAUUUAUUCAAACACCUUGGGUGUGUUCUUUUCUGUGA